rnacentral:rRNA from 1 species
UACGGGGGGAGCAAGCGUUGUUCGGAUUUACUGGGCGUAAAGAGCGCGCAGGCGGUCGUGCAAGUCGCGUGUGAAAGCCCCCGGCUCAACUGGGGAGGGUCACGCGAUACUGCUCGACUUGAAGGCAGGAGAGGGAAGUGGAAUUCCCGGUGUAGUGGUGAAAUGCGUAGAUAUCGGGAGGAACACCAGUGGCGAAGGCGACUUCCUGGCCUGUUCUUGACGCUGAGGCGCGAAAGCUAGGGUAGCAAACGGG